CUGUGAACCUACAGCAUCUGUGGGGUCCCCUCCAAUGCAAGACUCUACCAUCUCCAGCAAAGGCACCAAGACGAGAGAAGCUUCAGAAAGGGCAGGAUGUGAGGUGAGGAGAUAGAGGCUUAGAGAGCUCUGGGGGGAGAAAUAAAGAGCUAUGGGUUACAAACAGGCCUCUCCCAUGCGUCUGACAUCCUCAAACAAAAUGCCUUUCACAAGGCUUUGCAGACUCUGUGGCUACAGUCCCCACUGCUCCCUGUUGUGCCACACCCAGCCUGGUCUCCACAAUUAACAAGACAGCAGACUGGGCAAGGCCUGCAGCAUCUCUCCCACCCCUGUCCUGCCCUGCCCUGCCCUGCCCCUUGGGGCUCCUUGGAUAGCAUCUGGCCUGGCCACUCCUGACCAGAGGCUCUCCCCUGCCCUUGCGCUGCCUGCCCCUCCUGCACUCUGCACCAGAGAUACGGAUCUUCUUGGCCGAGAUAUCACUGAAGGCAGAGCUAAAAUCCCAGCAAUAAAGCAGGGUCUGGGACUUACAGUGCCCACGGGAAGUGCUUUACUUGCUCUGGGGUGGUGGGGCUGUGGGUGAGAGCAGAGGAUAGCCAAGAAGGGCAGAAACAAGAGGCAGAGUUGUCACCAGUUUUCUUCCCUGUCUCUUAAGUGUGAGCAUAAAGAGGAAGAGAAAUGAGGUCUGCGCAUUCCCAUCCUCGUCCAGCUUCCUUGGGGCCAGAGUGCCUCCUUGGCCCUAACCCACACUGCGGAGGUCCUGAAGGAAAAUGUGAGGCCAUGGGGAUUAAUCCAGGAAUUUCAACACACCAUCCAGAAACCCAUGGUCCAUAUUCCCUCGUCCCAGUCCAUGUUCAUACUAGUCCCUUCUCCUGGUGCCCCCUCCCCUGCUCCCCUCCCUGUAACCAAAUCCUGGGAAAGGCACACCUUCCCAGGAGACCAGGGGACUGCUCCAUCGGACUGCAGCUCUGGUUGGAUAUUACAGUGACCUCGGGAGCUCGUGAAGAAUGCCACUGCACCUGAGUCUUGGGGGAGGGGCCUAGAUAUCAAUAUUUAAAAAAAAAAUUCCUGGAAUGAUUCUGAUGCCCUUUCUCUAGGACAGUGGUUUUCACAUUUGAGUGGGCAUCCAGAUCACCUGGAGGAUUGUUAAAACAGAUUGCUGGGCCCCACCCUCAGGGUUGCUAAUUGAGUUGGUCUGGAAUCAAUAGGUCUAUUCUACAAAUUCCAUAGGUCUGGAAUUUGCAGUUAUGACCUGUUCUCAGGUGAUGCCAACGCUUCUGGUCCUCAGACCACACUUUGAGAACCUAUUGCUUUGUGGCUACCCAGGCCAGCGCUUUCUGUUUCCUGGGUCUCUGAUUGCUUCAGGCCUCUUAGGCCUGUUUCCUUUUCGAAGCCAGGUCCCCAGGGGUAGGGAUCACCCCCAGUCUCUGGUAUAGUCAACCCUCCAUCCCCUACCCUGGCUCUCUGCUCCCACCUCCCAUUAAACUGACCCAUGUCCAGCCUUGGCCCCACCUUCCAGGACAGGCGUUUAGGAAAUGCGUAUUGCUUCAGGCCGGGUGAGGUGGACAGCACUAGCCCUGAGAGUCAUCAGAACGCUGGGCAUGAUCGGAAGCUCCUGCAAAAUUGCUUAGAGCCAGAGCAGCAUUGCUGGAAUCAGGAGUGGGGGGUGCGAUGAGGGGGUGGGGAGAAAGGGGGAGGGAAGGAGGGAGAGGUGUCCAAAGCAGCCCCUCACUUUGCUGAAGUGAGCUGUAGGUAGCCCCAGCAUGUUUUUUAUCUUCCCUCCCCAUGGAGGGUAUGUGAUCACUGUCUGAACUGCAUGUUUUUGUUAAUAAUAAAAAUGAUAAAACACACACAA